GUACCAAGGCGCAUUAAGGAUGUUUCUCAGUACUUUAUUCUGGAAUCUCUGGAUAAUUAGGAUGUUACUCUUGCUAGCACAACCCCAGAGCUGUUGGUAGUCUAGAGUGCCUACCCAGUAGCCAGCCCAUUUUCCUAUAUCUGAUAUCGAGCUCUUCCUUUUUUUUCUUAACAUUAUUCUACUGAAAAUAUGUUUUUUUUUUGUUUUUGUGCGUUUAAACUUUGAUUGCUGAUAAAUUCGUUAUGGCUAAGCAGAAUAAGGAAAAAAUGUGUACUACCUACCCCUAUUUGUUCGUUAUUUAUCAAUUUUACCAAAUAAGAAAAUGUGCAACGACCAUAUUCUAGAAAUCCACCAGCUAUUUUUUUCGUAAAUCGCCACCUCUGUUUAAAUGAAAAUGUAAUUGUUUUCUAAAGUAAAUUGAUCUCAAAGCAACCUGCCAGAAUUAGAAAAGCUUCUCUUUAUAGGUACAGCCUGAAGUUACGAUUUCAACUAGUUUGGCGCCAGCAUUAUUCCAGAAGCAAUAAUAAAUAAUUAGUGCAAUUAAAACUGGGCAACUUUUCCAAUUCAUUUUGUUUCAAAACUUUCUAAAUUAUGCGCUGCAUUUGCUGUGGUCACCUAAAUGCUACACUGAAAAUGCACCUGAUAAUUAAGACGAAACGCACACCGGAGGGAUAUUUAUAUUUUGAUAAAGGAUGCUUUUUAGGUAAAUUUGCAUUAGGAUUUACGAUUUUUGAGUUCAUCAUAUAAAAAUGUACACAGUUUAAACCUUGCAAUGAGAUAAGGUGUUUUGAUAAUUAUAAUAAUUCAUAAAUA